rnacentral:rRNA from 1 species
GAUGAACGCUGGCGGCGUGCCUAACACAUGCAAGUCGAACGGAGAUUCCGGACGGAAGUUUUCGGAUGGAAGCCUGUAAUUCUUAGUGGCGGACGGGUGAGUAACGCGUGGGCAACCUGCCCUAUACAGGGGGAUAGCAGCUGGAAACGGCUGGUAAGACCGCAUAAGUCGGUUAAAUCGCAUGAUUUGAUCGGGAAAUGAGCAAUCAGGUAUAGGAUGGGCCCGCGUCCGAUUAGCCAGUUGGCAGGGUAAAAGCCUACCAAAGCGACGAUCGGUAGCCGGACUGAGAGGUCGGACGGCCACAUUGGGACUGAGACACGGCCCAAACUCCUACGGGAGGCAGCAGUGGGGGAUAUUGCACAAUGGAGGAAACUCUGAUGCAGCGACGCCGCGUGAGUGAAGAAGUAUUUCGGUAUGUAAAGCUCUAUCAGCAGGGAAGAUGAUGACGGUACCUGACGAAGAAGCCCCGGCUAACUACGUG